rnacentral:rRNA from 1 species
UACGUAGGGGGCUAGCGUUGUCCGGAUUUAUUGGGCGUAAAGAGCGUGUAGGCGGCCAGGUAGGUCUGGUGUGAAAACUCGAGGCUUAACCUCGAGAUGUCAUCGGAAACCAUCUGGCUAGAGUCCGGAAGAGGAGAGUGGAAUUCCUGGUGUAGCGGUGAAAUGCGCAGAUAUCAGGAAGAACACCAAUGGCGAAGGCAGCUCGCUGGGACGGUACUGACGCUGAGACGCGAAAGCGUGGGGAGCAAACAGG